rnacentral:rRNA from 1 species
UACGGAGGGUGCGAGCGUUGUCCGGAAUCACUGGGCGUAAAGGGCGCGUAGGCGGCCUGAUAAGUAGGGGGUGAAAUCCUGCGGCUUAACCGCAGGGCUGCCUUCUAAACUGUCAGGCUAGAGCACAGUAGAGGCAGGUGGAAUUCCCGGUGUAGCGGUGGAAUGCGUAGAGAUGUGGAGGAACACCGAUGGCGAAGGCAGCCCCCUGGGCCUGCACUGACGCUCAUGCACGAAAGCGUGGGGAGCAAACAGG